rnacentral:lncRNA from 1 species
CUUUUUCUUAUUAUCCUUAAACUCCUUUUCAUUUCAGUAAGUAUCUUAUCAAUCCCUUCUUGGUAACAAUGUGUGCCAAAGUAAGAUUUUUUUUCCUUAGAGGCUCAAAAACUUUGGAGCAUAUCAGACUCAUUUUCUGAUCUCAGAUUGGGUCUGCCGUGUAAUGAGUCCUAUGGCAAGGCAUUGCAGGAGAGGAGAAUGUGAAAACCUUCCAUAGUGCUGGAUCUGGUGGGAGGCAGAGAGGAAAGAGAAGAGUCUCCACCUGCUGGGGCCUAUAGAGUUGUUGCAGAUUCAAAGGAUGCCCACUGUAAACGGACAGCAGGCUGGGUGCUGAGCAGAGUUGGAGAAUGAGAAGUCAGUGGAAGACAAGAGGCCAUUUGUUUCCUGUACAUCAAUCACCAUGGACCCGAGAUCUCAGGAAUGAUUCCAGAACAAAGACUGGAGCUGGACUGAGAUACCAAGCUACAGUGAAUGAAGAAAUGAUCCUUAGGAAUGAGGCGAGAGACUCUUCCUGCGCCUGUCUUCUCAGCCAAUUCCACAGGAGGAGAGGGUUGCGGGAGGGGAGUUCCAGGUUCCUGGUCGCCAUGAUACUGCUGGCUCAGGUGGGAUAGACAUGGAGGAGACAUAGACAUGCCGGGAGACACUUCUAGGCAUGGAGGUGUCAACUGCACGGAGGAGUGAUGGAAUUAGACCAACCCCACAAGAAGAAACUCCAGAGUCCCAAAGGUGCCUAGGGAUUCACUGAACUCUGUGACAAGAAGUCAACAAGGUUAGCAGUUUGGGUGUGUCCCCUUAACUUGGUGGGGAUUUUUUCCCCUUUGUUGGAUGACAUAGCUUAAAAUUCCUUCCUUCCCGUGCUGUAAUUCCCUCUGGUUUUCCCCAACCCUUGACUGUGGUUGGACAACACCCCUACAACUUUGUGUGUUGGUGACAGGGGAAAAAUGAAACCUGCCCUGUGGUCACAGCCCUCCGUGAAGGCCUUGGCAGGGACAGUAGCAUCACUGGCAGGGGGCAGAAGUCACUGGGCUCUAGGCUACAUUUUCCAGAAGAGGAGGUGAACCUCUGCCACUCCUGGGUCUCAUUUCUGUGUCUCUGUCUCCUCUCAGGUCUGAGCCUUGUAUUCAGGAUUACUAACUCUGAGAACUUCUCUCUGAUUGCCAAAUCACAGAGUGGGAAGUGGUGAGGACGAGGCUCUCCCAAGUCCCAUAUUUCUGUAGCUAUAAAGGAUUUGAUUCAUGCGGAGGCAUUUAUUUCAAAUAAAGACUAGCACAAACUGAAAAGAACUGAGAAAUUACACCCUCC